GCCGAGGUGGUGAAAUUGGCAGACACGCGGUGUUCAGGGCGCCGUGGGCGCAAGUCCGUCGGGGUUCAACUCCCCGCCUCGGCA
rnacentral:tRNA from 1 species